rnacentral:rRNA from 1 species
UACGAGGGGGGCGAGCGUUGUUCGGAAUUAUUGGGCGUAAACGGUGCGUAGGCGGUUUGGUAAGUCUUAUGUGAAAUCUACAGGCUCAACUUGUAGUCUGCAUGAGAAACUGCCGGGCUUGAGUAUGGGAGAGGUGAGUGGAAUUCCUGGUGUAGCGGUGAAAUGCGUAGAUAUCAGGAGGAACACCUGUGGCGAAAGCGGCUCACUGGACCAUAACUGACGCUGAUGCACGAAAGCUAGGGGAGCAAACAGG